rnacentral:rRNA from 1 species
AGUAACGCGUGGGGAUCUGCCCGAUAGAGGGGGAUAACUACUGGAAACGGUGGCUAAUACCGCAUAAUGUCUACGGACCAAAGCAGGGGCUCUUCGGACCUUGCACUAUCGGAUGAACCCAUAUGGGAUUAGCUAGUAGGUGGGGUAAAGGCUCACCUAGGCGACGAUCUCUAGCUGGUCUGAGAGGAUGAUCAGCCACACUGGGACUGAGACACGGCCCAG